rnacentral:rRNA from 1 species
UACGUAUGGUGCAAGCGUUAUCCGGAUUUACUGGGUGUAAAGGGAGCGUAGGCGGCGCGUUAAGUCUGAUGUGAAAACCCGAGGCUCAACCACGGGAGUGCAUUGGAAACUGGCGGGCUGGAGUGCCGGAGAGGUAAGCGGAAUUCCUAGUGUAGCGGUGAAAUGCGUAGAUAUUAGGAGGAACACCAGUGGCGAAGGCGGCUUACUGGACGGCAACUGACGCUGGGGCUCGAAAGCGUGGGGAGCAAACAGG